AUUGGCUCGAGAUAUAGGGGGAGGGUUGAGAUCUCAUAAACAUGUUUAAUACAUGUUUCAUACAUGCGGUAUGGCCUUUGCUCAUUGUUGAAGGCCGUACGGCGUACGGUGACCUAUAGUUGUUAAUGUCUGGGUCAUUUUGGUCUCUUGUGGACAGUUGUCUCAAUGGCAACCAUGUCACAUCUCUUUUAUAUAAACCCCGCC
rnacentral:lncRNA from 1 species